GGAACACCGGCGGCUAUAGGCAGACAAAAUCGGACGCACUGUCACUGAUAAAUGAAAUGAGGCUUUACUCUUUCAGAUUUGGAUGUGUGCUGGCUUUUGCGUGUUUUGUGUCAAUUACUUGGAUUACAUCGAUUCCCAGUGAUGGAGGCUCCACCGUGCAGACCCUGGACCAGCGGCUGCUACUGGCUGAGGGGCUGGCCGGGCAGGUCCGCAGAGAUCUCAGCAGCCUCCUGGAAGAACUGAGGAACACAUCCAAAGUUGCCAACAUCAGCUAUCCCAUCAAUACCACCAACACCACCACCAACAGCAGCAUCCUCACAG